UUUCUUACUGAUAAAAAAUUUCUAGUAGCCUCACUCUCUCAUUUUAUUCCCUUCUAUUUUCAGAAAAAACAAACCUUGUCAUUAAUGGACAGUGGUAAGCUACUCCAUUUUCAUGCUACUUUCUUCUCAAUCAGCAAAGGUUACAGGCCUGUCCAGAACCUACCCAACGUUCAAUGUCUUUGACAAAUUUCAAAAUUGAAAUUAAAAAUCCCACCCAAACUAAGAACCCUAGUUUUUUACUCCUAUAAUUAUUAGAAAUUGUUAUCCAUUUGAACAAGAUUUUAGCUGCAUUCUUCACCCACAGGAUUGAUAAUACCUUUAUAUUUCUCUUAUCUUUGUUCUUCUCUCACGGAUCUAGCCAUAACAAAGACUUUGCAUUUUAUUUAACUCGAGCUAGACUCGUUUUCGUUUGCAAAAGGAAUGUAGAUCUGCGGCUCAAAGACCCCUCAGUUUACUGCUCCACAAAAGCCACGAGUGCACACAUUUGAGAGUAAUUGUGGAACCUCGAGGAGCGAUCGACUACAAUUAUUUGCACCGGAGUCGGUCAAAAUCGUUUUCAAGGGAAUGUCUUAUCACAACAGAGUGUCUCUGAUAAGUUAUUUACUACUUGAUAAUUCUAGUCUAAUAUCAAUAUUGUAGUAUUUUUACCAACAACUUUCAUUUACAAUGACUUUGUGUAACCUUUUCUUGAUUUUCACUACAACCUUUCUCUAAAACACUUUGAUACUAAACAUGGGGUCUGUGCAAUUCUCAUUUAUGCUCUUUCAUUG